UGUGACUCGAUGUCAAGCCUAAAGGACUGAAGCACUAUGACCCAUAGGAAGCACAGAGAGGGGAGAAAGAGAGAGGACAGACUGUCAGUGUCUCUCCCACAGUGACAGGAAAGAGAAGGCAGCAUUGGGCAAGGCAGGAUCCUGUUUGGCAAGGGACGUCUGUUCCCGUGUGGGAAAGCAUGACUCAUCAGGGUGCCACAGCUCAGUGACACAGUCUCUUAAGAUCUUCCAAGUCCCCUUAGUCCAACUCUGUAUUUACCAAACAGCUCUCAAAUCUGCUUGUGGCUUCUGAAGUACGCCUUCCCACAGGGUAAAAAAUGUGCUGACUGGGCUUUCUUUGGGCCUAUUGUCAAUUAUAUUCUGCUGGAUGAAUGAAUAAUGCUGCAUCUGGCCUCUCUUUCAUGGGUUUGGUUUAGAGUAAGCUAAUUCAUUCAACAUCAAUUCAACAAAUAUUUACUGAGUGCCAUCUACGUGCCAGGCAUCGGUCCGAGCCCUUGUGGUUCGAGUCAGAUUAAGAUCCCUGUGUUCAUGGAGUGCCCACGCUAAUGAGAGGUGACAAUAACAACAAAAAUCAAUAGGUAAUUUCAAAUUGUGAUAUUUCGCACCUAAGGUUUCUGAAUUCCUUUCUACAGGCUCAGCUGUAUCCCAGGUUCUGCAAACCUCCCCCUCUCACCUUCACCAGGAAGACUUAAACGUUAGCCUAGUCUCAAAGGAUUCAGCAUCAAAUUUCCCCUCUAGUCUGACCCAGACUCUGAGAGAAUGUGUUUCAGUUUCUACACUUACCACCAAAUGUCUGGUCUCUGGACCUCAGCCUCAUUUCUGAGGCCAGGACUUGAUAACCUCACCCAUUUAUUCAUUCAACACAACUCUUAACACCAUGCCUCUGGUUAGGAGCUGGGAAUUCAGAAAUGAAUAAGACAUAUCCCCUGCCCUCCACUCUAGUUCACAGUCCGAGAGAGGAUGCACACAUUCAUGGUUCCUGUGCUUCAUCAAUGUCUGGGAGAGAGGAAAGUGUAGGGUGCUGUGUGUACAGAAGAGGAACCCCUAAGUCAUACUGGAGAGAGGGGUAGUCAGGGGGAGUGCCCCUGCGGAGGCAAUAUUUAAACUGAGGUGGUUGUUUCUUACAGUAAUGACAAACAUUGGAACUUCAGAAAAUACAGAAACAAAAGGCAAUUAAAGCCACCCAUACAGAUACCACUGAUAACUAUUCGGUGGUGUGAACCUUCUAGUCUCUUUGCUAUUUGAGCUUAGAUUUGAAGGGCAAAGAUUUACUUUGACAGUAAAGAUAGGGAGGAAAAAGUAUUUGAUAAAGGCAAUUGUACUUAAGUUGACUUUAAAAACUGAAUGUGAUAGGCACGAAUAUAUAUAUUUGUUGUUCUUGUUGUUGUUGUUCACUGAAAUAUCCCUGGUGCCUAGCCAGUACAUGGCAGCAUAGUUGCUCAACAUGUACUUGUUU